rnacentral:lncRNA from 1 species
AUGAAUCCGCAGCGUUCCUGGGAGGCAGCAUUUGACGGGGGAACAGGAGGCAGAGAGAGCGCGGCUGCUCUUGUACUGGGGUCGCCUGCUGCUCUUGUCACUAAAGUACGCCCAGGAGCAGACCUGUGUGACUGGGCCAGGGUCCUUCCUUCCCAGCAGGGAGUCAUGUUCCAGAAGGGUCUGCAGGCCUGUGCUGCCCCUGGCAGAACCACGCAGGGCUCCCCGUGUUGGGGUGGGGUGCCCAUAGUACUGUCUGAGCUGCCCCACACCCACUGGGAGCCAAGGCUGGCAACCACUAGGAGCAGCCACCCUGGAAGUGGUGGUGCGCCCCAGCCCGCUGCCUGCGACCCGGCCACACAGCCUGGGAGCCUGCAGCAGGAAAAACAGAGUCGCUCCCCGCGCCAGGGGGCAGCCCCUUUCUCAGCAGACUCUACAUCAUCAGCCACAUGGAGGGGAGGAAGGAGGGCAGGAGGAAGCCGGAAGGCGAGGCGGGGGAGAGCCACUGGGGCGCAGUUUAAUAUUCUACGAGAACUGGCAUUUGAAUGGAGUCCUGCCAAUGGAGGAAGUCCCAGACUGAGCGGGCCUCCAUCCUGUUAUCACAAGUGUCCCAGCAGAGAAAACAGCAACGCUGCACAGCAUGCGCGCGCUCGGCGGGUCAAGAGUGCGGAGAGAUCUCCCUGCACUGCCUGCGCUAAGCAAGGAGGUGGGGGUGCGGAGAAAGGACCUGAUUGGCAGUGCGCCGCUUCCCAGUGCGCCGCCACUUGGGCACCCGGUGUGGGCGGCGGACCUUCUGCAUAUCCCACCUCUCAGUGGACGCCCUGCCAAGGCCACGUGCCUUUCCCAGGUCUCCCCUGGCAGGGCUUGGGGAGCAGGAAGGUGUGCUCCCUGGCUUCCAGCUCUGCUGAGUGUGCAUUUCCUAAUUACACGAUGCUCCCAGCUCGGGUUUCAGGAAGGAGAGUUCCAAAAAUGAAGCCUGGCUUUAGAACCAGAAAUGGUUUUUAA